rnacentral:sRNA from 1 species
AUGUACCGCUCGUACUCCGGUUCCUCCGCGCCGUCCGCACCUACCUGACGACCGCUCGCGAGGUAUUGGUAGCC